rnacentral:sRNA from 1 species
AUUGGUCACAAUUGAUGUGUUAGUUUCGGUGUUGGAAUGAUCUAUUUCCGUCCCCACAGACGGCGCCAAAUGUGGGUUCUGAAAUCCACACUAGAGAUUUGUAAUUGAGAUUAUGAGAGUUAUAUUGCUAAGAACGAAUGGACUUUUUGUAUUGAUAAUGACAAAGCUUUUACAAUGUGAAAGGAGAUUACAAGUGUAAAAGUAUGUGUGUGAAUGUAAGCUGAAUUGAAUGUGUCUUCCAAGUCGUCCUUGCUCCCUUAUAUAGGUCUACGCACGUGGUAGCUCCGUCCGGGAUCUGCGGAGGUCCUCCUGGAUAUUCGGCAGGUUAGUUCCGAAUAUCAGGUCCGCUCCGCGAAUAUCUCCUCAUCAGUUCCUAGGUUGUUAUUCGCUUAUCUCCCUUCAUCAGGUGACCGGGCUUAUCGGGCCCAAAUACCCAUUAGCGUAUGUGGGCUCAUCAGCUGCGUAGGUCCUCUACUUGGUGGGCUUGAUGGGCAUUUGUGGGCUGACUUGGUAUUUUCGCAGGUGGAUUCCUGGAGGGAAAUCCAGCUCCAACAGGUAUGAUAAAAA